CUACGGGUGGCUCCAGUUAGGAAUAUUCUGCAAUGUACGAAAGUAUGACAGAUUGAGUCAGAGUGCUUUUCAUAUGAAAAGCUUUUGCCAAAUGUAAAAAGUUUGGCGAAUAAGGACUGGGUAAGACGGGUGCCAGCCGCCGCGGUAAUACCCGCGGUCCAAGUCGCAGCCAUCAUUAUUGGGUCUAAAACAUCCGUAGCUUGCUUGGUAAGUUUCUUGUGAAAUUCUAUAUCUCAAAUAUGGAGCGGGCAAGAAGUACUGUCAAGCUAGAGACUGGAAGACGUAAGAAGUACGUUUGGAGUAGCGGUAAAAUGUGUUAAUCCCAGACGGACUAACAACAGCGAAGGCAUCUUACGAGGACAGUUCUGACAGUAAGGGAUGAAGGCUAGGGGCGCGAAAAGGAUUAGAUACCCUCGUAGUC
rnacentral:rRNA from 1 species